UACAGAGGUCCCAAGCGUUGUUCGGAUUCAUUGGGCGUAAAGGGUGCGUAGGCGGCGCGGUAAGUCGGGUGUGAAAUCUCGGAGCUUAACUCCGAAACUGCAUUCGAUACUGCCGUGCUUGAGGACUGGAGAGGAGACUGGAAUUUACGGUGUAGCGGUGAAAUGCGUAGAUAUCGUAAGGAAGGCCAGUGGCGAAGGCGGGUCUCUGGACAGUUCCUGACGCUGGAGGCACGAAGGCCAGGGGAGCAAACGGG
rnacentral:rRNA from 1 species